ACGUGAGUUCUGACUUUGGGAAUCAUCCUACUUCUCAUCUUAUGCAGUCUAUUCCAGGCAUGCACAAUCCUGAUAAAUUUGAGGUAUUCUGUUAUGCCCUGAGCCCAGAUGAUGGCACAAACUUCCGAGCGAAGGUGAUGGCAGAAGCCCAUCAUUUCAUUGAUCUUUCUCAGAUUCCAUGCAAUGGGAAAGCAGCUGAUCGCAUCCAUCAAGAUGGUAUACACAUCCUUGUAAAUAUGAAUGGUUAUACCAGGGGUGCUCGAAAUGAACUCUUUGCUCUCAGGCCAGCUCCUAUUCAGGCAAUGUGGCUGGGCUACCCUGGGACCAGUGGCGUGCUUUUCAUGGAUUAUAUCAUCACUGAUCAGGAAACUUCACCUGCUGAAGUUGCUGAGCAGUAUUCUGAGAAACUGGCUUAUAUGCCCCAUACUUUCUUUAUUGGUGAUCAUGCUAAUAUGUUCCCUCACCUGAAGAAGAAAGCAGUCAUCGAUUUUCAGUCCAAUGGGCACAUUUAUGACAAUCGGAUUGUGCUGAAUGGCAUCGACCUCAAAGCAUUUCUUGAUAGUCUCCCAGAUGUGCAGAUUGUCAAGAUGAAAUGUCCUGAUGGAGGAGACAACGCAGACAGCAGUAAUACAGCUCUUAAUAUGCCUGUCAUUCCUAUGAAUACUAUUGCAGAGGCAGUUAUUGAAAUGAUUAACAGAGGACAAAUUCAGAUAACAAUUAAUGGAUUCAGUCUUAGCAAUGGACUGGCAACUACCCAGAUCAACAUUAAGGCUGCCACUGGAGAGGAGGUUCCCCGUACCAUUAUUGUAACCACACGUUCUCAGUACGGGUUACCGGAAGAUGCCAUUGUGUACUGUAACUUUAAUCAGUUAUAUAAACUUGACCCAUCUACUUUGCAGAUGUGGGCAAAUAUUCUGAAGCGUGUUCCCAAUAGUGUACUGUGGCUGUUGCGUUUUCCAGCAGUAGGAGAACCUAAUAUUCAACAGUAUGCACAAAAUAUGGGCCUUCCCCAGAAGUGUAUCAUUUUUUCACCUGUUGCUCCUAAAGAGGAACAUGUUCGGAGAGGCCAGCUGGCUGAUGUCUGCUUGGACACUCCACUCUGUAAUGGACACACCACAGGGAUGGAUGUCCUUUGGUCAGGGACACCCGUGGUGACUAUGCCAGGAGAGACUCUUGCUUCCCGAGUUGCAGCUUCCCAGCUCACUUGUUUAGGCUGUCUUGAGCUUAUUGCUCAAAAUAGACAAGAAUAUGAAGACAUAGCUGUGAAACUGGGAACUGAUCUAGAAUACCUGAAGAAACUUCGUGGCAAAGUCUGGAAGCAGAGAACAUCUAGCCCUCUGUUCAACACCAAACAAUACACAAUGGACCUAGAGUGGCUCUAUCUACAGAUGUGGGAGCAUUACGCAGCUGGCAACAAACCUGAUCACAUGAUUAAGCCUGUUGAAGUCACUGAGUCGGCCUAAAUAAUGACUGUGUGCACAGGAGAAUUACCGUGUACCUGAGCCUCAACCUUCUGGGGGAAAGGGAACUACUUUUUCCUUAUCUAUACAAUACCAUGCUGCAGAUGGGUGACAGACAAUGAUAAGAAAUAGCACAGCCAGACUUGCUUCCUGCAUGAUCAUGAUCACGAUAGGGAGAGACACAAGAGAUGGGAAACUGCUGUUCCACAAGGAGUCUCCAUAGAAUUUUGCAGCAGCCAGGUGUCUGGAAGGUCUGGAAGGUAAGUCUGGAAGGUCUGAUCUCCCUUGGUCUUCCAUGGGAUGGAUGGUUAGUGUGGAAGGGAGAUAGAGAUUGCCCAGCCGUUUUGUGAUUAGCAUGGAUUGAUUGAGUCUUCUGAAUUAAUAUUUUUCUUUAUAUUUUGGGUAUUGGAGCUUUUAAAAAUGUUUGGUUUCAGGUAUUUUUAUUCAUGUGAAGUGUGGAUGAUUCUCUUGAGAUAAGCUUUUAAGCUAAAAUAUUCCUUGUUUUAGUUUCUGAACUCUACAGAUAAAUGGGGACUUUGCUGGUGUAGUCUUUUUAUAGGUUUUAUAAACCACUUGAGCCUAUAUCAGUCAUUUAAGUUUCUGACAUAAUGUUUGGAACUAUCAGUGCUCUGUUGGUUUAUAGAUGAUGGCUUAAAUUCUUUUCCUGGUCCAUUUCCUUCUUCCUUCCCCCCAACUUUAAAAAUUCUCCUGUAACUUGGCUAACAAAAGACCAAGUCUGAUUCAAAACCUCCCAGAGUGUUUCUCUUAACCGCAUCAUCUGGUGCCAAAUGAAGAUUCUUAGGAGUGAUUAUUAAUUCUGAAGGGCACAGUUGUGGUACUGUCACUGAUGAUAAUAAUAAUGGAUGUUUGGCCUAGA